AUGAGGGCCUUAAUGGGCAAGCUCCUCGCCGUCGCCACUGCCCUCGGCGCCGUGUUGAUCAUGUCAACCAGAGCCUACGCGAACCUGGAGGCGACGUGCAUGGCGGCGUCCGCCAAGGACACGCGCUUCAACUACAGCUUCUGCGUGAAGGCACUGUCGGCAGCGGCACAAACCGGGAAUGGCGCGCGGGAGCUCGCCAAGGCCACGGCGGAGAUGGGCGCCAAGUUGGCCGCCGCCACGGAGGCCAAGGCCAGGGCGAGGCUGGAGGAUCCGCGCACGGAGCGCAAGGCGUACGAUCCCUACCAGACGUGCUACUACAUCUACCAGCGUGCGAGCAACUUGUUCUUGUUUGCUGAGCACUUGAUCGACAAGAACGCCUACGCCGACGCCAAGAGUGCAGCUCGGGACGUACCCUCGGCCGUGGGCGACUGCGAUCGGUACUUCCACGAAGCCGGGCUGGGGGCCCCGUUCUUGGAGCAGAGCGCAAAGUGUGAGCAGUUGGGGAUCAUAUGCGGGGCCAUCACCGACCUUUUGUGA
rnacentral:rRNA from 1 species